GCUGGGCGUGGUGGUGCAUGCCUGUAAUCCCAACUACUCAGGAAGCUGAGGCAGGAGAAUUGCUUGAACCCAGGAGGCAGAGGUUGCAGUGAGCCGAGAUCAUGUCAUUGCACUCCAGCCUGGGCAAUAAAGUGAGACUCUGUCUCAA
rnacentral:SRP_RNA from 1 species